GACGUAGGGCGCGAGCGUUGUCCGGAUUUAUUGGGCGUAAAGAGCUCGUAGGCGGCUUGUCGCGUCGUCCGUGAAAACUUGGGGCUCAACCCCAAGCUUGCGGUCGAUACGGGCAGGCUAGAGUUCGGUAGGGGAGACUGGAAUUCCUGGUGUAGCGGUGAAAUGCGCAGAUAUCAGGAGGAACACCGAUGGCGAAGGCAGGUCUCUGGGCUGACACUGACGCUCAUGCACGAAAGCGUGGGGAGCAAACAGG
rnacentral:rRNA from 1 species